rnacentral:rRNA from 1 species
GACAGAGGGGGCAAGCGUUGUCCGGAGUUACUGGGCGUAAAGGGCGCGGAGGCGGCCUGCGGCGUCGGCGCUGAAAGCGCCCCGCUUAACGGGGCGAGGCGUGCCGAUACGCGCAGGCUCGAGGCGAGCAGAGGGUGGUGGAAUUCCGGGUGGAGCGGUGAAAUGCGUAGAGAUCCGGAGGAACGCCAGUGGGGAGGCCGGCCACCUGUGCUCGGCCUUACGCUGCGUCGCGAAAGCGUGGCGAGCAAACCGG